AUCUGCUUUUGGAUGCUGGAAAAAAGCAAGUCCUUGCUGGACAUCUCAUUCCUUCUACCUUCCACCCUUUCUACUUGCCUUCCUUCCAGGAUACUUCAACCUCAUGGAAGACAAGAGGCAGUUGAUACUCUUUCUAGUAAGUAGAUGUUCCCUUUGAUGGUGGCCUCAGCUGUGUUUCAGUUCACUUGGUGUCACAGGGAAAGCUAUUCCAUUGCUUGAUAAACUCCCCUCUUUUCUCCGUUCUGAGGCAAAUGGAUGAAACUGACCUGACAACAGAGCACCUUCUAAAAAACUUCAAGCAGGAAGGAGAGGAUGAAACUGACCAGGAUGGAAUUGGCAAAAAUUGCUGAGGACUGAUUUUUAAAAUAUCCGUGCACAGAAAAGACUCUGCCCCUUCUAUUGGAAGAAAUAGAAACAGCUUUCACGCAAUGCGGUGAAUUGAUCUAAGGACGCUUUCCCCACCUCAUUCUCCUAAAAUCUCCAAGGAAGAGAAAACUUUCAUACUUUUAGCUGACUGACAGAUCUCCAGAUGUUUCCAGAAUAGAAUUGCCAAAUGUAUUGCAAUUACGAUCGCUAUUGGAUGCUCCAUUGUCUAGCAAUUUGAGGAACUUCAUUACUUUUAUAUUAUCAGGUUGAGCAUGCUGCAAGUCCAUCAACCGAGGAAUGUCAGCUGACAGGGACCAGAAAAUAUGUCUUCUCUUCUCCAAAGCCUUUUGGAACAUUCUUCCUUCGGAUAUUAGGAUGGCCCUGACCCUGCUUUUGUAAGGUUUUUUUUAGAAGCUUUUGUAAGGUUUUAAAAACCUGGCUAUGUGCUCUGCCCGGCCCCUGAAUAUGUUAAGCGCCCUGUUUCAUGGCUAUACGGACAAUUAUUGUGAUAAUAUUCUUAAUUGCUGUAUAUAUAUAUUUAUUUUUGUAAUGUUUUUAGAAUUGCUCAGAGUCACCAGCUUGAAAUGGACAGCUGUAGGAAUUAAAUAAAUAAAUACAAAUUAGCCGAUGACCAGUUCUGGCAAUAAUUUCUCAUAUUAGCCUUUCAAAAUUAGAAAGAUUAAUGCAAUUAAUAUGCAAGACAUGCCAAUGCAUGCUAAAAAGGCAUAUUAUUUCCACAACAUUUGAAAAAUGCAGUGACUCAGAACAUCAAGAAAACAAGCAUUUUCAAACUUUGCUAUGCCACGAACACUAAAAUUUCAGAUGCAACUAUCCUUUCUCAUUACUUUGACGUCAGAAAUGUGGAAACCCACUCUAAAUAAUACAAUUUCAAGCAAGAUUAUGUUGAAAUCCUCAAGAGGUUUUGGAGUGUAAGAUGGACAGGCAAAAAAAUCCGUUGCACAUAAAGAAUUCCCUUUGAACUAGAUAGCAUUUCUUCAUAAUAAAAGAUUAGAAAAUUUAGCUUUAGUUUUGUUUUAUUCAAAGAAAGGGAAAUGACGGGGAAUACCUUCCUUUUCCUAUGCAGUGUGGAUAAUAGUGAAAUCCUUACAGAGAAUCUAUACCUGUCUAGCUGUUUUCUAUCUAUCUGUCUGUCUGCUAAGCUGUCUAGUUAACUAGCUAUUUAGCUCACUGUCUAGCUAAUUACUAUCUAGCUGUCUAGCUAUCUAGUUAUCUAGCUAUCUCUAUCUAUCUAUCUAUCUAUCUAUCUAUCUAUCUAUCUAUCUAUCUAUCUAUCU